rnacentral:misc_RNA from 1 species
UGGUUACGCAAUCACCGAUUCAGCAUGCUGUGAUGUGAUUUGAAGUAUAUAUCGUAAACCGUUAAGUUUUGUUAAAUAUGGUGGAAGGACCAGGGUGUAAAAUCAAAGGAGAGAAAAUAAAAUCCAAACUGAUGAGACAGGCAGUAAAGGCGGUGUCAGGCAAUGCUGUAGACAGGGAAAUAAAGCCAAAGAAAGGACUGGUGACGUCACAGUUUGACGUUCUGAUUGGGCGAGCGCUGACCGGCGUACAGACACUGGGAAAGGAGCUGUUUAUGUAUUUCGGAGAUGUCUGUUUAAGGGUUCAUUUUUUGAUGGCGGGGUCGUUCCGGGUCAACGGACAGGCCCUGGACAAGGACUAUGGGAAACUGACAGAAACUCCCUCCCUCCAGGUCAACUUCAGUACAGACGUACUAACGUUCUACAAGUCUGCAGCACAGAUCAGGGAGUCCGUGUCGUGUAGCUCCAGGUAUGACGCCCUCCACGACCUUGACAUCUGCUCCCCAGUGUUUAACCACCAGAGGGCCGUUACCAUGGUGAUGGAACAGAGCGACCGACAGGUCUGUGAUGUACUACUGGAUCAGACGAUACUGCCGGGAGUCGGAAAUAUCAUCAAAAACGAGGUCCAGCAGCUCUCCAAAGAACUAGUGUCCCACCUGGUGAAAAUGACCAGGGACUUCUCUCUCAUCUUCUACAAGGAAGACUGGGACCAACUUGAAUCAGUAUAUGAAGAUUUAUAACAAGAGGAAAUGUGGGCAGUGUGAGGGAAAAGUUACAAUAACAAGAAUAGGGGACGACAUGAGAGAGUGACUUAUUACUGUCCAAACUGUCAGACCAACACACUCAAGUCUCAAGUCAAAGUUCAUCCAUGCAAGAACAGUCUAUUGGGAUGGGUACAAUCAGCCAAUCAGAAACCGGAAAUAAAUUCAGCCAAUCAGAGCAGUGAAGUAAAUUCAGCCAAUCAGAACAAUGAGGAGGAUUGGAGCUGUCAGAUAUGUACGUUGAUAAACAGUGGGACAAAACUCAGAUGUGAAGCCUGCAUGACAGAAAGGGAGGCAACUCAUACAGACAAAAGUAAAACGGGUUUGAAAAGGAAGUCAUCAACAGAUUUUUCAGAGCAGUCUGUUAAGAAAGUGAAGGAAAGCAAUGAUGGUCCGCCAGUCAGAAACCUUGACAAAAUGGAAUCCGUGUUAAGUCCCAGGCUUCCUUUAGGAAACAUCCCGCGUCUUCCUACUUUGACACACUCAGGAAACACAGACUCUCAAAAAGCACGUCAAACAAAUGGAAACAUUGUUGGGAAAACAUUGUCUAAAAAUUCAAGUACUGGGAUUAAAAAGCCACAGACAGGCAUUGGAGGACAUCAAAACAAAGAUGUUAAGAUGAAUGUGAAAGCUGGUGCUCCAACAGUUUCAAAAAAGAUGUCACAAGAUUCCAAGGGACAAGGAGCUAGCAAAGUUCCCUUGUGUCCAGGCCACAGUAAACCUUGCUCCAUGACGCAAACCCGGAAAAAGGGAGACAAUUUUCUUCGCUGGUUCUUCUCCUGUGGUGUUUAUCCACGAUCGAAGCAAUGCAAGUUUUUCCAGUGGGCGGAUGAGAAAUUUCCAAUUUGUCCAAACCAUGGCAAACCAGCGGCAUUCAGGACCGUGAUGAAGGAGGGACCCAACAAUGGCAGAAAGUUCUUUGCUUGUCCACUACCUAAACAGAAACAGUGCGGAUUCUUUGAGUGGGCGGAAGGUUUUGAGGUUUGAACCCAGAUAUAGUACUGUUUGAUACAAAGACUGACUCUGAUGUGGACAUUGUAUGGUUUGUCAUGUACCGGUAUUUCAUUGAUCGUGGAAGGGUUUAUGGCUUUAAUACAAGAAGUCGCAUAUAAUUUUCCAAAAAUAAAUUGAGAUUCUG